CCUACGGGGGGCUGCAGUGAGGAAUAUUGGUCAAUGGGCGAGAGCCUGAACCAGCCAAGUAGCGUGCAGGAUGACGGCCCUAUGGGUUGUAAACUGCUUUUAUACAGGAAUAAAGUUAGCCACGUGUGGUUAUUUGUAGGUACUGUAUGAAUAAGGACCGGCUAAUUCCGUGCCAGCAGCCGCGGUAAUACGGAAGGUCCAGGCGUUAUCCGGAUUUAUUGGGUUUAAAGGGAGCGUAGGCCGUCUGUUAAGCGUGUUGUGAAAUGUAGAUGCUCAACAUCUGAAUUGCAGCGCGAACUGGCAGACUUGAGUGUGCGCAACGUAGGCGGAAUUCGUGGUGUAGCGGUGAAAUGCUUAGAUAUCACGAAGAACUCCAAUUGCGAAGGCAGCUUACGGGAGCACAACUGACGCUGAAGCUCGAAAGUGCGGGUAUCGAACAGGAUUAGAUACCCUUGUAGUC
rnacentral:rRNA from 1 species